GGACCGAUGGUGUAGUGGUAAGCGUAGUUGCCUUUACCUCAGUUGGACUGGGUUCGAUCCCAGACGGUCCC
rnacentral:tRNA from 1 species